AUCUAGCUAACGAGUCCCAAAUAAGACGGAACAUACGUCCUGAAU
rfam:Schistosoma mansoni, Puerto Rico, WGS project CABG01000000 data, contig: 0353